rnacentral:lncRNA from 1 species
UAGAUAUUAGAGCAGAGAAUUGUUUUUGAUAACUGUGAUAUAAAAUUGAUGUAUAUAUGUCAUUUUAUAACUAGAUUAAGUUUUUGAUGUUUUAGCAAUCUUAAUGUCUGUUUUUGGUGUUUUAGACAUACAUUAUUAUUACUUCUUAAUCUGGUUAAUGAUAUAUGAUUUAUAUCUUGUCUCUGUUUACUGUUUCCAUUUCACAUACGUUUUCACGUGGUAUUUGAGUUUUGUUUUUCAGAAAACAGGUUCAACAAGAUAUUGCCAAUGUAAUAGAAUAGAUUGGUAGUUUGGUGUCAAUUUGUUUUUAUCCUUGACUGUCAAAUGUGUUUUUGUCACAGAAUGUCAAAGGGGGAGUUUGUUAGGAAUAUAUGUAAUUGGCAAAUCUGUGACCAAGGACCAAAAUGUCAAAAUUGUAAAGUCAAAGAUCAAAUUGUCAAAAUUGUAAGGUCAAGGACCAAAUUGUCAACGUCCAAUAGUUCAGGGACUAGAGUUGCAAUUAACCAAAGUUUGUAGGCUUGGUCUAGGGUUGUGUGGGAUGCCUCGAAGACGCAAACGGCGCGAUGAUUUCGCUAGAGUCACGCCAUGACCUCGCUCGAGCCACAAUUGCAGAAACAACUUCGCUGGACAGACGCUGGACUGUCGCUCAAGCGGAAGACACGUCGCUCGAGGCUC